rnacentral:piRNA from 1 species
UGAACUACUCCCUGGACCUAGAUAC